rnacentral:sRNA from 1 species
CCGAUAUUGGAGCCCCCAAGCUCCGGCUGC